AUUGAACGCUGGCGGCAUGCCUUACACAUGCAAGUCGAACGGCAGCACGGGAGCAAUCCUGGUGGCGAGUGGCGAACGGGUGAGUAAAGUAUCGGAACGUGCCCAGUCGUGGGGGAUAACGUAGCGAAAGUUACGCUAAUACCGCAUACGAUCUAUGGAUGAAAGCGGGGGAUCGCAAGACCUCGCGCGAUUGGAGCGGCCGAUAUCAGAUUAGGUAGUUGGUGGGGUAAAGGCUCACCAAGCCGACGAUCUGUAGCCGGUCUGAGAGGACGACCAGCCACACUGGGACUGAGACACGGCCCAGACUCCUACGGGAGGCAGCAGUGGGGAAUUUUGGACAAUGGGCGCAAGCCUGAUCCAGCCAUGCCGCGUGCAGGAUGAAGGCCUUCGGGUUGUAAACUGCUUUUGUACGGAACGAGAAGGUUUGACUUAAUACGUUGGACUCAUGACGGUACCGUAAGAAUAAGCACCGGCUAACUACGUGCCAGCAGCCGCCGUAA
rnacentral:rRNA from 1 species